rnacentral:misc_RNA from 1 species
AUUGAUGAUGCGGAUAAUCUAACAGAGUAUUGUUGAUUGUAUCGAUCUCGAUCGAUCUCAUCGUUAUCGAUUGUCUAUUAAGUAAAGAAGUCCAAGUCCUCCUCCCAUACAGAAUAAAGAAACUUUCUAGAAUAUAUUUUGAGCCUAUUAUCGAUAUUUCUGGUCACGAUAAAGACUUAAAUCAUUCUGUUAAUAAAAUUUUUAAUUCGUUUUUUACAAUUUAAUCGAUACUUUUACACGAAAAUCAUAACUUUAAGCG